rnacentral:rRNA from 1 species
UACGUAGGGUGCAAGCGUUGUCCGGAAUUAUUGGGCGUAAAGAGCUCGUAGGUGGCCUGUCGCGUCGGCUGUGAAAACUCGGGGCUCAACUCCGAGCUUGCAGUCGAUACGGGCAGGCUAGAGUUCGGCAGGGGAGACUGGAAUUCCUCGUGUAGCGGUGAAAUGCGCAGAUAUCAGGAGGAACACCGGUGGCGAAGGCGGGUCUCUGGGCCGAUACUGACACUGAGGAGCGAAAGCGUGGGGAGCAAACAGG